rnacentral:rRNA from 1 species
UACCGGCGGCUCGAGUGGUGGCCGCUUUUACUGGGCUUAAAGGGUCCGUAGCUUGAUUCACAAGUCCCUUGAGAAAUCCAUCGGCUUAACUGAUGGGCGUUCAGGGGAUACUGUGGUUCUAGGGACCGGGAGAGGUGAGAGGUACUGCCGGGGUAGGAGUGAAAUCCUGUAAUCCCGGUGGGACGACCUAUGGCGAAGGCAUCUCACCAGAACGGCUCCGACAGUGAGGGACGAAAGCUGGGGGAGCAAACCGGAUUAGAUACCCCAGUAGUCC